rnacentral:rRNA from 1 species
UACGGAGGGUGCAAGCGUUAUCCGGAUUCACUGGGUUUAAAGGGCGCGUAGGCGGCUUACCAAGUCCGGGGUGAAAGCUUUCGGCUUAACCGGAAAAGUGCCUUGGAUACUGGUAGGCUGGAGGGAGGUAGGGGCAUGCGGAACUUCCGGUGGAGCGGUGAAAUGCGUUGAUAUCGGAAGGAACGCCGGUGGCGAAAGUGGCGUGCUGGACCUCUUCUGACGCUGAGGCGCGAAAGCUAGGGGAGCGAACGGG